rnacentral:rRNA from 1 species
UGCCCAGUGACCCCAGUUAAACGGCCGCGGUAUCCUGACCGUGCAAAGGUAGCAUAAUCACUUGUUCUCUAAAUAGGGACUUGUAUGAAUGGCCCCACGAGGGUUUAACUGUCUCUUACUUUCAAUCAGUGAAAUUGACAUUCCCGUGAAGAGGCGGGAAUAAAAAAAUAAGACGAGAAGACCCUAUGGAGCUUUAAUUAACUAAUUUACAAAUUAUAAUAUCAAUCUACAAGAAAUAAAUAAAAAUUAACUAAAUUAGCAAUUUAGGUUGGGGCGACCUCGAAAUAAAAACUAACUUUCGAGAAAACUCACUAAGGCCUACAAGCCAAAGUUAUCCAAUCAUACAUUGAUCCGCUAUAAGCGAUCAACGAAAUAAGUUACCCUAGGGAUAACAGCGCAAUCCUAUUUAAGAGUCCAUAUCGACAAUUAGGGUUUACGACCUCGAUGUUGGAUCAGGACAUCCCAAUGGUGUAGCAGCUAUUAAUGUGUUCGUUUGUUCAACGAUUAA